GAUUGAACGCUGGCGGCAUGCCUUACACAUGCAAGUCGAACGGCAGCAUGAUCUAGCUUGCUAGAUUGAUGGCGAGUGGCGAACGGGUGAGUAAUACAUCGGAACGUGCCCUGUAGUGGGGGAUAACUAGUCGAAAGAUUAGCUAAUACCGCAUACGACCUGAGGGUGAAAGUGGGGGACCGCAAGGCCUCAUGCUAUAGGAGCGGCCGAUGUCUGAUUAGCUAGUUGGUGAGGUAAAGGCUCACCAAGGCGACGAUCAGUAGCUGGUCUGAGAGGACGAUCAGCCACACUGGGACUGAGACACGGCCCAGACUCCUACGGGAGGCAGCAGUGGGGAAUUUUGGACAAUGGGGGCAACCCUGAUCCAGCAAUGCCGCGUGUGUGAAGAAGGCCUUCGGGUUGUAAAGCACUUUUGUCCGGAAAGAAAUCGCACUUACUAAUAUUAGGUGUGGAUGACGGUACCGGAAGAAUAAGGACCGGCUAACUACGUGCCAGCAGCCGCGGUAAUACGUAGGGUCCAAGCGUUAAUCGGAAUUACUGGGCGUAAAGCGUGCGCAGGCGGUUGUGCAAGACCGAUGUGAAAUCCCCGGGCUUAACCUGGGAAUUGCAUUGGUGACUGCACGGCUAGAGUGUGUCAGAGGGGGGGUAGAAUUUCCACGUGUAGCAGUGAAAUGCGUAGAGAUGUGGAGGAAUACCGAUGGCGAAGGCAGCCCCCUGGGAUAACACUGACGCUCAUGCACGAAAGCGUGGGGGAGCAAACAGGAUUAGAUACCCUGGUAGUCCACGCCCUAAACGAUGUCAACUAGUUGUUGGGGAUUCAUUUCCUUAGUAACGUAGCUAACGCGUGAAGUUGACCGCCUGGGGAGUACGGUCGCAAGAUUAAAACUCAAAGGAAUUGACGGGGACCCGCACAAGCGGUGGAUGAUGUGGAUUAAUUCGAUGCAACGCGAAAAACCUUACCUACCCUUGACAUGCCACUAACGAAGCAGAGAUGCAUUAGGUGCUCGAAAGAGAAAGUGGACACAGGUGCUGCAUGGCUGUCGUCAGCUCGUGUCGUGAGAUGUUGGGUUAAGUCCCGCAACGAGCGCAACCCUUGUCUCUAGUUGCUACGAAAGGGCACUCUAGAGAGACUGCCGGUGACAAACCGGAGGAAGGUGGGGAUGACGUCAAGUCCUCAUGGCCCUUAUGGGUAGGGCUUCACACGUCAUACAAUGGUGCAUACAGAGGGUUGCCAAGCCGCGAGGUGGAGCUAAUCCCAGAAAAUGCAUCGUAGUCCGGAUCGUAGUCUGCAACUCGACUACGUGAAGCUGGAAUCGCUAGUAAUCGCGGAUCAGCAUGCCGCGGUGAAUACGUUCCCGGGUCUUGUACACACCGCC
rnacentral:rRNA from 1 species